ACAUCAGCGGGGAAAGAGGAACCUGUUAAACGUGGUUCCACUUCAACUUUGUGGAAUGGCCUGCGCGUUGUAGCAGAGGGGGAAGUUUUGUCGAUCGUGAAACACCGCUACCCUCAUUGUCGUUUUACGUUUUUAGUUAAGUUGAUACGAAUACGUGGCAUCUGGUUAUAUCUUAAGGUACGUUUCAGGAUGCUGGUCAAUGUAGAUGAAACAUGCAUAUGCGGGGGCUGGGACGGCUCAUCGGUGGAGCAGUAGCGCGGGUGCUGAGUGGGAACAGAAAACUCAUGUUAACCGAGAGGAAAAGCGCAAGCUUGAUUUAGAUUUUCAGUACUAUUACAAAUUGUGAAAUCAUGGCCUAUCGAUCUUCUGGUUAUGAGCAACUUUCAGCCAGAGGUCUCAAAAGUUACUAGAGAGAGUGCCAGCUUGUAGCAGCCAAGCCUACAUAGAAAAGCUCUUUUUUGAUCCUUCGACUAUGGCUUCUCCCACCAAUGAGAUUCGUAAGUCUCAACGCGUUGUAUUGAUUCAAAUGUUUGGCUAACGCGCUAGCUGCAAAAAAAGCUAGUGCCGCAAAGCUAUGAUCUAUAGGGUUUUGACUGAUUGCCUCCACGUCAGCAUCCGUGCAUGGUAAGCAGUGUUUCCCAUCUCCUCACUUUUUACUUGAAUGUGUUAAGUGACUUCCGCAAAUUAUCUACCUUGAGGAGCAGUCGCCAUCCCCCGCAAGUGGGGAUUUCCAUGUAUUGCAAACGAUUUUACAACGCAGAGUGAACCUUAGUCGAUUAUAGGGCAAGCGCAUUAUCACACGCACAUUGUUUGGUUGCGCAAACGCCAUCUGCAGUGGAUAUACUGCAACCAGGUAGUGUACAUGUGUGAGUGUGUUUGCCCUACAAUCCAGUACGAUUAAGCCUGCGUUACAUGGUGU
rnacentral:ncRNA from 1 species